UUUCUUCUCUUCAUUUUUUCCCUUUCUCUUUCUUCUCUUCAUUUUUCCCAGCUCUCCCUCCCACCAUAACAAUCUUCACUUCACUUUGACUCUCACUCUCACCCUCACUCUGAAAUUCAUCCUUAAGUUAAUGUUUGGUUCAUCGGUUGCGAAUGUUGAUCGAGAAGUUGACCAUUUUGCUGUAGUCAUGGAUCCUUUGAGAGUUACCCGAAUGAUGUUUUUUAUGUUCAACCUUUACUAACAAGGCUGCAACCAUUGAAGACGAA